rnacentral:lncRNA from 1 species
UCAAUGAAAGACUCUUCUCACAAAGCAAGUCUCCUUCCCAUAAAUCAAAGAGGCAGCAGCAAGAGUUAAUUGCAGAAUUAAGAAGGCGACAAGUUAAAGAUAACCGUCAUGUGUACGAGGGAAAAGACGGCGCCAUUGAAGACAUUAUCACAGCCUUAAAGAAGAAUAAUAUCACUAAAUUUCCAAAUGUUCACUCGAGGAUCUUAGAAACCAACCCUACAGAAGAGCCGAUGCGGUGAGACGAAGUGUGAGGCGACGCUUUGAUGAUCAGAAUUUGCGUUCUGUUAAUGGUGGGGAAAUAACAAUGUGACCUGAGACCGCCUUCACGAGAAGGGUGUACAUGAAACUGCCAUUCCAGCCUUCAAUACAGAUGAAAUACUCUCAAGGGCUCAGAUUUAGUAAACAUAUAGGAAUUUAAAAAAUAAUGGGUUCUCCUUUUAACCCCUGUUAACAAGUGCCUAAAAUUGGAAGUAACUUGCUCAGAUUAAUCAAAGCAAUAGGAUUUGACUUAAAUCUUUUUACAUCAGUAUGUUACUCAGUUUUUUAACCAAAAUGUAAAUUUCAUAUUAAAUUCAUUAUUUGCCAUUGUGAUUGUCCUUUAUGGCCCACCCUGGUUUCCUGGUAAUCUGUAAAUAACAGGGAUGUGAAUGCUAUGGGCUUCCUUUGCUGAGAGGUCUUCUAAGAAAUUGUUUUCGAGCCAUAUUCAC